UACGGGGGGGGCAAGCGUUGUUCGGAAUUACUGGGCGUAAAGGGCUCGUAGGCGGCCAACUAAGUCGGACGUGAAAUCCCUCGGCUUAACCGGGGAACUGCGUCCGAUACUGGAUGGCUUGAGUGUGGGAGAGGGAUGCGGAAUUCCAGGUGUAGCGGUGAAAUGCGUAGAUAUCUGGAGGAACACCGGUGGCGAAGGCGGAAUCCUGGACCACGACUGACGCUGAGUGAGCGAAAGCUAGGGGAGCAAACGGG
rnacentral:rRNA from 1 species